GGGGUCUGGAUCAGACACCCUCACUCUUCCCCUUCACUCCAUUGUUUAGUGUCCAUCAUGGCAGCCAAGGUGAAGACUCGGAGAUGACUGGAAAAUGUAUUCUUCAUGAUCAUUCAGUUCUUGAUAAUCCCAGUAAAAAACUGGGCCUUGGAAGCAUCAGAGAGGUGCAGAUUUUGGCAGUCAUUGGACAUUUCCUUCUCUCUUAGCCCAAGAAACCUAUUAAAUUCUUGCCUGACAAAUCAUAUGCUCCCACUGCAGCAGGCAGAAAAACAGGACUCCAGUGUCUCUCUUUGGAGAGUUCUUUCGUAGCAAAUUCCUGUAAUGCCCAUUCUAAUCAUUAUGCCUUAUACUGGAAAACAUUCUUGCUGGUGUAAUUGCACCUGUCCUUUCUGUUUCAUACAUGUACACACAUAUAUAUUCACACACAGUUUUCUUUCAAAUCCAAAAAGUACAAGCUUAGGAAAUCCUUUUAGAAAAAAAUUAUUUCUAAAAUCUGUCCUGCCUCUUAGGCACUUCCGUAUCCUCAGAUGGCCAGCCACUCGUCAGGUAGCAAAGUUGUGCAAGACUGAAGCACAUCAACUUUGUUUUUCUCCUAUUUCAUAUAUUAAAAAAUCUGUGAUAAAUGCUCUCUUACCCUCGGAGUCUGAAAAAAUAUGUCCCUCCUUUGAGAUGCAAAUCUGAACUUUGAUUAGAAACAGAGUCUGCCUCCUUGACAGCCACAGAUAACCUCUCUUAACAAGUUAAAAACCAUUUUUAAAGCAGAAUGGUGUGUUCUGAGCUUAUGAAAAAGUUAAUUCAUAGGGUUUUUCCUUUUUAGCUCCUGAUGGAAAAUGCCAGCCCCUCUCAUAGGCACAAACUGACCUAUUAUGCCCUUGUCUCUAAGGGAUGGUUGUGCGAGCUGUUACGCUGGAAAGAAGAUCCUUCUCCAGAAAACAGAACCCUGUGGGAGAACCUCUCCAUGAUCCGAAGGUUCCUCAGUCUUCCUCAGCCAGAACGUGAUGCCAUUUAUGAACAGGAGAGCAACGCGGUGCAUCACCAUGGCGACAGGCCGCCCCACAUUAUCCAUGUUCCAGCAGAGCAGAUUCAGGUUCGUUUACUUUGGCCAAUUCAAUAUAGCAAUAAGUAAAUAAAGCUUUAAACUUAGCAGGGAAAUUAGCGUUUCUCUUCCUCCUGCCAGUCUAACCAUAGGCUUUUUAGCAAGAGAUAACAAUACACUGCCAUCUUGCUCAGGGGGAUAAAAUGAAUAUUAACAUACUUUUUCCAGCGUAUGUAUUGUGUUCCUCUUUCCUCAUCUCCCAGCCACCAAAGCAACAGGAACCCCUUUUUUACACUCGUUUGGCAAAUGUGUCUUUGUUGGUAUUGGGUUUUGUGUUAAGAGCUUAACAUUUUUGUGUGUUUUUUAAAAAUCACAAUUUAAAACACCACCUAUUUUUAAAUUAAUACCACAGUGCCCCUGAGGAAAAGAGCAACCGCUGUUGCUGUAAAGGAAGUUUGUAGAAUCACAAUUUUAUACAUUGGAUUCUGUCCAGAAAGAGGAGGGGAGGGAAGCUUAAUUGGAAUCUUGCUUUACAGUCCUUGGCCCUUCCUUCACCUUGUAUGUAAUAGCUGUCUCCCCACACUGUACAGAAUGUAGGUUAGGGGUGAGUCAUGUCUGUUUGUCUUUCCUUUAGAGCCCCUCUCCCACCACCCUUGGGAAAGGAGAGUCUAGAGGCGUUUUCUUACCAGGCCUGCCGACCCCUGCACCAUGGCUCGGUGCUGCUCCUCAGGUGAGCGGGCACAGUUACCUAUGCCAGCAAGGGACACAGAGAGGGGGUGACCUAAAGACCUGCUCCCCAGGUCAGGAUUUUCAAACCUGUAAAGGCCCUACUAACCAUGGUCGUGGGCAGAGCUCACUGUGCCAGCAGAUGCAGCCUUAUGCUUUGUUUGUCAUGUCAUGGGACUUGUCACCAUUCAUCUCCUGAAGACACUCUUCUGUGAAUUUAGAUGGAAAAGUUCUGGGAUCAGGUAGUUAUUAGUGCUCUUAGGGCCCCAGUUGCUUAGAAAGCGUGUUGUCAUUGAACUUGAGUUGUAUAGCUUAUUUUUGUUAAAGGGGAUGAUUUUAGCUCUCUUUUAAAGUAAAAUGCCAUUGCCUUCGAGAGUCCUAAAAUUCUACCUCUGUUGAAUCACCUACAUUCUGCAAUUUUUUUGUAUUUCUGUGAAAAAUUAUAUAUAUGUGUUUGUGUGUGUGUAUAGAUAUAUACGUAUAACUAAAAACAGUAAUAAAGUUAUUUAUCUACCAGGAUAAAAAAAUUCUCAAGUGUGUAUUAGAGAUAAAACAAGUUGACAAAGAGCUUCCCUUUAGGAUAUCAAGCACUAAAAUAAUCGUGAAAGCCUGAAAAACUUACUGUUUAGCAAAAACAAAAAAGAGAACGAUGUAUGUUAAUUAAUUUAAAAAGUACUUAUUCGAAAAUAUAAAUUGUUUUUCAUAAAAUUGCUUCUUAGGGGUAUAAAAGGAAACGCAUAGACACGGUAUCAGCAUUCUAAUAUUUUACCACUUAGGUUGAUUUACUUUGCUGAUAAGAAUUAUGGAUAUCGAGUGUACAGUAUGUGCAUGUGUCACAUAUUUAUGUAUAAUUGUGUAUGGAAAUUGUAGCACAUAUACAUAUACUUAAUUAUGAAAAAGUGUCUGUAUACACUAAAUUUAAAUCCUAACCACAUCUGAGUUUGCUAUAGACAAAACAAUUCGCUAGCUGUCGUAUGGUGGAUUGAACCUUUUGAGGUAAGAAAAAAACUUGCAGUGUCAGCCUAGUGCAAUUUGGUAAGAAAUUGUGUGUGUAUUAAAUUGGAACUGUCUGAUGGAAAAUUCACAAGUGUGAGAAUAUCAGAAAUCCUUUAGUCUCAUGACAGAUAACACUGAAUAAGAGCAUAAGCUCAUCUUCUAUUCUUCCUGGCCAUCCGAUGAAACGGAGCAGAACACAAAUUUCUUUCCCCACUGCUCUGUAGCUCACCUUUCUGAAAUGUCUUUGAAAUCCUUUCCUCUCCAUCUUCAUUUUAAAGCUUUGUUAAUUAUUUACAUCAUAAUUUGAUGUGCUGUCUUCGCCUUUGAUGCGUAUCCUUCUAGUGAAUUUUAUGGCUCACAUUUUCAGAGCACUGAGUUUUCACUUCGUCUGCUGAUCUCUGAUAAGUAAGUGCAGUAGCCCCCCAAAGCUGUCUUAAUUCAUCCCUUCCUAGUCAUACCAUUUUGAUUUUUUUGUAAAUGCUGUCAGCCAUUUCGCUGGCCUACCUUUUCAUUCUAAAUCUUCAUCCCUAUCAAAGAAGCUAUAUGUAGGAUCCGGGACCACAUUUUUCCUGAUUGGAGACGGCUUUGUGUGGAACUCCACGAUAGCAGAGCUCUGAUUGUCUCCUUGUUUCUUUGCAGCAACAGCAGCAGCAACAGCAACAGCAGCAGCAGCAGCAGCAGGCACCGCCGCCUCCACAGCCACAGCAGCAGCCACAGACAGGCCCUCGGCUCCCCCCACGGCAACCCACGGUGGCCUCUCCAGCAGAGUCAGAUGAGGAAAACCGACAGAAGACCCGGCCACGAACAAAAAUUUCAGUGGAAGCCUUGGGAAUCCUCCAGAGUUUCAUACAAGACGUGGGCCUGUACCCUGACGAAGAGGCCAUCCAGACUCUGUCUGCCCAGCUCGACCUUCCCAAGUACACCAUCAUCAAGUUCUUUCAGAACCAGCGGUACUAUCUCAAGCACCACGGCAAACUGAAGGACAAUUCCGGUUUAGAGGUCGAUGUGGCAGAAUAUAAAGAAGAGGAGCUGCUGAAGGAUUUGGAAGAGAGUGUCCAAGAUAAAAAUACUAACACCCUUUUUUCAGUGAAACUAGAAGAAGAGCUGUCAGUGGAAGGAAACACAGACAUUAAUACUGAUUUGAAAGACUGAGAUAAAAGUAUUUGUUUCGUUCAACAGUGCCACUGGUAUUUACUAACAAAAUGAAAAGUCCACCUUGUCUUCUCUCAGAAAACCUUUGUUGUUCAUUGUUUGGCCAAUGAAUCUUCAAAAACUUGCACAAACAGAAAAGUUGGAAAAGGAUAAUACAGACUGCACUAAAUGUUUUUCUCUGUUUUACAAACUGCUUGGCAGCCCCAGGUGAAGCAUCAAGGAUUGUUUGGUAUUAAAAUUUGUGUUCACGGGAUGCACCAAAGUGUGUACCCCGUAAGCAUGAAA
rnacentral:sRNA from 1 species